UACGUAGGGUGCAAGCGUUAAUCGGAAUUACUGGGCGUAAAGCGUGCGCAGGCGGUGAUGUAAGACAGGUGUGAAAUCCCCGGGCUUAACCUGGGAACUGCAUUUGUGACUGCAUCGCUGGAGUGCGGCAGAGGGGGAUGGAAUUCCGCGUGUAGCAGUGAAAUGCGUAGAGAUCGGGAGGAACACCAGUGGCGAAGGCGGCCCCCUGGGCCGUUCCUGACGCUGAGACGCGAAGGCGCGGGGAGCGAACGGG
rnacentral:rRNA from 1 species